rnacentral:tRNA from 1 species
GCCCCGGUAGCUCAGGGGAUAGAGCAAUCGCCUCCUAAGCGAUAGGCCGGCCGUUCGAAUCGGCUCCGGGGUA